AAUCAGCCCUUUCAUUUGGUUAUACAAUGGGCAUGCAAGGGUAUGUGAGUGGGUGUGCAGAGGAGCCGCACCAAAGGCAUGAGGGUGUGGGCUGGUGUGCUUCAGCCGCACCAAGGAAAGGCACCAGAGAGAGAGCACGGUAGAGAGGGAGAGUGGGUUGCUUGUGAGAUGCAAGCAAGCAGUCCAUAAACUCCCGGAGGAUGUUUUAGCUGGGAAUUAGCUGGGUUCAUCAAGGGUUCAAGAGAGGGUAUAUCUCUUGGGGUGAGAGUGUUUUUCACUUGAAUGAGAGAGGGUGUACAAGGGGUGUAUCCUAUUGGAUACGGGACUCGGGUUUGGGUAUAAAACUCUUGAGUGGUUAUUCUUGUACUUGUAUCUUUCUCAUGUUAUAGUGAAGGUGGUGACUCUCUGGGGAUGUAGGCAGGUUAUCUGUCGAACCCGUAAAUUCUUGGUGUGUUCUCUCAUGUAUUUACUCAUUGUCAUCUUGAGUUUGUUGGUUUGUUUAUUUAUUUCUUCCAUCGGGUUAUGUUGUGACGAGGGGGAAACCGGUGUUUCCCCAACAUUAACUACUGUCAUCAAGCAACAACAACCAAGCCUGCAGUAUUAAAAGCACCACUCACCUGUUGUUCAGUUUUAAAGCCACGAGUUUGCCCUGUAUGUACUUCCAGCAAGAAUCUGCAGCCACUUGAAACCACAUACGUUCUGUUAUGCCUUACAAUGUUUUGUACGGGAUGUCAAAGAUCUAUAUGUAGUAUUCUUUAAUAUAUAUCUGAGGCAAAUGGACCUAUCUCUAUGAAGAAACUUGUCUAUAAUGUCUAAUUCGAUCUUCUUAUUCUGUAGGACAAACCUUGUGAUGUAUGUGUUGGAACAGGCUUUGUAGAGCUGAUUGCUACUUGCUUUCAAUUUAAAAUAGCUCGGGAACACGUGUAUGAAUUAAAACUAUUGCAUACAGGUCCUCCUUAAAUAUGUUUCAGAAAUUUGGUUUUGUGAGACAUGUCGUUCUGGAGAUCAGUCACUCAAAAAUCUGUUAGAAAAAUACUCUUUCAGAAGGCUUUAGGAAGGAUCAAACACCUUUGAGAUAAUCCACUCUGACAUGUCUCGAUCUGUGGGUUCCAGAAGGCUUGUUGAAGAGUCAGGCAGUUCAGGUCAUCUUCGAAAGCCAACUUCCUUGGGAACUGCCAAAGUAAAGUUUAUUCCUAUUGAAAAAGCUCUUAAAAUGUCAUCUGGAGCUCAAAAGGUGGAAUUGCCCUCACCAAGUAAAUUGCACUCAAGCUCUAUCCGAAUAGAUACCAUGGAAACAAUGUCUCGAAGGGCUUCCACUGAGUUAAAAUCUACCCCUAAAAAAAUUCUUCACAGAAGGUGAAGGAAACUUAAAAAAAUUUCCCUGCUGGAGAUUUAAAGCUCUCUGGACAUGGCAGUGAAAAAAUCAGUUCAAUCACUCCGGCACCAGAGCCUAAAUCUUGUACUGAAUUAAAAUGAGGUAAUUUAUGUGCUGAUGCUAAACCCAAGAACUCUAUCAUUCAAGGAUGUGGUCUGCCGAACAUUUUGCCCAAACCUGAGACAAAUCUUCCAAGUAACCCAAUUUUAGAUGCUACCUGGUGUGGAAGCCUUGAGAUCCUUGAUAUGGAUUCUUGUGGUCAAUUUUGUGAUGGAUUCCGGGCUCAUCUUCCGGGGAAAGUCCAUCCUAAAGCUGUAGAGUAUUCAAGGCUCGUGCCUAACGUGCUCUGGUGUAAGUUGCUCCCUUGUAGCAGUGUAUUGGCAGAAAUCUUUGAGAAUGACAGCCCCACUGUAAAUGAUGUGGCACUGUUCUUUUCCCCUGGCGAUUUUGAGAGGUCUACACAACAGUAUUUUAGCCUCUUGGGACUUCUAGAGAUGCGAGAUAUGGCACUGAGGAGUCAUAUAAAUGGUGUCAAUCUAUUGAUUUUGUCUUCUAGGAGGCUAAAUCUAGAUUCUUGUGGUAAGUGAUAAACCUAAUCCAGACUCGACGUGAUCUGCUGCUACAUCUCAUCUGAGUUUGAUAUCAACUGUUAUCAUUAUCUUGUAUCCAUAAAUAGCUUAUUGUUAUUCUUGUAAACUUGUAACUCUCUGUACAUGAGUUUAAUAUAUAAACGAGAACUGCACACCCAGUUUGUGUGGGUUGAGUUUCUUCCA